rnacentral:rRNA from 1 species
UACGUAGGGGGCAAGCGUUGUCCGGAAUCAUUGGGCGUAAAGAGCGUGUAGGCGGCCCGGUAAGUCCGCUGUAAAAGUCAAAGGCUCAACCUUUGAAUGUCAGUGGAUACUGCCGGGCUAGAGUCCGGAAGAGGCGAGUGGAACUCCUGGUGUAGCGGUGGAAUGCGCAGAUAUCAGGAAGAACACCAACGGCGAAGGCAGCUCGCUGGGACGGUACUGACGCUGAGGAGCGAAAGCGUGGGGAGCGAACAGG